UACAGAGGUCUCAAGCGUUGUUCGGAUUCAUUGGGCGUAAAGGGUGCGUAGGCGGUCGCGCAAGUCGGAUGUGAAAUCUUGGGCUCACCCACGAAACUGCAUUCGAUACUGCGUGGCUCGAGUACUGGAGAGGAGACUGGAAUUUACGGUGUAGCAGUGAAAUGCGUAGAUAUCGUAAGGAAGACCAGUGGCGAAGGCGAGUCUCUGGACAGUUACUGACGCUGAGGCACGAAGGCCAGGGGAGCAAACGGG
rnacentral:rRNA from 1 species